UUAAUGGAGAGUUUGAUCCUGGCUCAGGACGAACGCUGGCGGCGUGCCUAAUACAUGCAAGUCGAGCGGAGUGGUGAGGGAGCUUGCUCCCGAACCACUUAGCGGCGGACGGGUGAGUAACACGUAGGCAACCUGCCCUUCAGACUGGGAUAACUACCGGAAACGGUAGCUAAUACCGGAUAAUUCCUUUCUUC
rnacentral:rRNA from 1 species